GUCACUGUAUCUUGUUAUACCUUUGUCUACCAGACUGAAGAGCCAAAGAUCAGAUUUAUUUCUCCAUGUAGGUACUUACAAACUGUAAUCAACUCACUCCAUAACCUCUUGAGUUUGACAUUCCCAGCCACUCUUGCCCUGUUGAUUUAAGGAUGGACUAUAGAAAAUAAAGGGAAAUUUGAAGAGAAGACAAGGUAGGUGCUUCUGAUGACUUAUUUUCAAAUUCUAUUCUACCUGAAUGUCAUUAAAUUCUCCUGGA